UCCACAACCCCACGACCCGCCUCGCACCUUCUCCCUCCCGGCCGCCGCGCGCGUCCCAGCCCCAGCCGCCGUGCGCCUCCGACCUCCCGGCCGCCGCGCGCCUCCACCUUCUGUCCACCGGCAUGCCUCCACCUCCCGUCCGCCGCCGCACCUCGACCUCCCGACCACCGCGCGCGUCCAUCCCUGACUGUCGGCACGCCUCCACCUCCUACAUGUCGCCAUGGACCUCCAUCCCUGGUGCGCCGGCCCCCUUUUCCCCACCGCGCCACCGCCCCCUCUACCUCACCGGGUCGCACUGCGUCCCCCCUCCUCCGCCUCACCGCGCCUUCCCCAAGCGCAACGCCGUCGACACAAUUGCAGGGCCAACUUGCCGCUGACCACGCAAUCUUCCUCAAGGAGCUCGUGUCCAACGAGACUGUAAGGAACAACUACUCGAGUUCUGAACUUCUUACUCAGUCAAGCUAGUACUGAGGGAAAAUUGACUGAAAUGUAUUGCAAAUUAUCUCUCCGAGACCCUGACAAUUAUUCAGUCCACGCCGCCACGCAGUCCAACUGCAUCCGCCAUCUCAGCGCGACCUCUUAUACCUUUGCAACCCUGUGUCCUGCCAUCCACCGAGUAGUCCAACCUCAGGGCCAUGUUCUGAGAAAAUCCCCUGAAGCGAAAUUGUUGUCGAUAGCCAUUGACCAUGAAGCUUCUCUGCCCUGCUGCUACUACUACAUGAGUAACUGGAAUGUUUUCAUGUGGAACUAUUGCAAACCAAACAUGCCCUAAGCUUGGUGCAUAUCACGACUAAUGGCAGAACUAGGAUAUUGUGCACAUUACAGUGUUGAGAAAGAGAAGUAGCUGGUUGAACACUCCAGCAAAGGGGCGUUUGCCGGCGGAGGGCGGAGUGUCGACAACAACCACCUCUGCCCAUCCUGCUCCUCCUCAUCGUGUGACCGUCUCCUUGGCCGCCCUGCACCUCGACGUCAAGCACUGCCCUCCCAUGAGAGAUCGGACGGACAAGGUGCUCCUGCCAUAUUCUUCCCGUGGAUCCAGCUCCUGUUCCCUGCCGACAGUAGGAGACAUGAGGUCACCUCCGGCGCUGCUGGUGGCAUGAAGGCCGUCAAAUGGUGAUAUAUUUGGACCCUUGCCUCGUUAGUACAACAGCACGCUCCACAGCCCGUCAGGAGAAGAGUUGCAUGCAGGCCACCCUCUGCUCCGUCCUCGAUCCGGCGUAGUCAUCUCCCUCUCAUCCUCUCUCUGCUCCGUGUGUGUGUGCAGGGAGUGGAAGGAGAUAGUGCAGGGGAGUGGGAGGUCCUUCCAUGGUGAAUUCAUAGGCAUCUUCCAUGAAGAUUGUGAACUCUCUCGAUUAUUGCUUGAGGAUUUAUGUUGGUCUGUUCACUGUAGUUCCUGUAUAGCGGCGUCCUCUUUUUCUAGUGUUCCUCUUUUGAUGUUGUUGCAGGUGUUUAAUAACCCACUGAUAUGAUUUCUGGAAACAAGCUUCAGUACAGAGAAGCUUCGGUAUGAGAAAAAAUGGGUCGUCACUUCAUCCAUAUGCAACCUCCUGCGUGGUCGUACGUUUUUAUUUGGAGCUACUUGCUGUGUGGUCAUCCAUAUGUGUAUUGUGUUGUCAGGUCAUGUGCAAGUUUGUUACAAGUUCAUUUAUAUGUUGGUAACCACUGUUA